rnacentral:lncRNA from 1 species
ACAAGCUCCCAGAUUCGUCAGAAUGAUUCCACCGAGGAGGAAGCUGCAGUCAGCUGCCUGGUCCAUGUGCAUCGGCGGGUGUCCUGCACUUACCAUUCCCUGGGCUUCUAUUUCAACCACAAUGAGUGGCUCUGGAGCGCUUUGGCUGCUUCUUCCAUGAGUUGGUUCAAUAGAAGCACAAGGGCACAGUGUGUCUCUUGGAAGUGCAAAACCAGCUGCACCAUCUUCCAAGGUGCACAGAAGCCAUCUCUAGAUGAGUGGGGAAAAUCAUGGAUGCCAUCAAAGCCACCGUUGCCUGGAGAAGAAUCUGAACCAGGCCCUUAUGGAUCCGCAUGCCCUGGGAUCUGCCCACACAGACUUUCAUCUCUGUGACUUUCAGGACAGCCAUUUCCUAAAUGGGAAGAUGAAACUCUUCAAGAUGAUGGGCAACCACCGCAGUUACCUUUGCUGGCCGGCCAGCCCCCAGGCCCACCUGCACCAGUCUCUUUUCCAAAAGCCUACCCACAAGCACAACCAG